GAUUUUCGACUUUGUUUGAUAUACAAAUCUGACUUAAAUGACGUCACACUGCAUAAUGAUUUUUAGAAAGAAAACGUUUCCUUGCCAAACAUGUGAUAAUUCCACUGACAUUGAAAGUGACAUACUUUAAGAGCUAUCAAAGCGAUCAUUUCGUCUGCAAAUUUGAGAUAAUGAGAAUUUUAACAAGCUACAACACAGUCUUCUGUAAAACGCAUUAUGCAGUGUGACGUCAUUUAAGUCACAUUUGUAUAUCAAACAAAGUCGAAAAUCUUGACAUACAGGAAAGAUUACACAGUUUUAGAAAACAAGUUAUAUUGUGAUUUUAAAUUAACUUUGCAAUCCAAUCAUAAAAAAAAUUGUCGCAUAGGCACUUUAAGGAUAUUCAAGGUGAAUUGAGAGCCUGCAUCGAUAACUAAUGAAUUUGAAUAUCUGCCCCAUAACGUUCGUUUUCCCAAAUAAGGAAUGUCUAUCCUUAUAUGGUGUUGUUUACAACUUUCGUGCAAACUAAAUUUAGACCGUACAGUUUAUACUGUUUUUCGAAAUAUAAGAUAUUCAAGCAAAAGUUUAAAUGUUUUAAAUACUGUUUUCUCAAAACAGAACAUUUCGUGCUUUGAGAUAAGAUGGCCAAGACCAAUUUGAUCAGUUAAUGUGUUUUUUAUGCAUAGUGCUUCAGCAGUUGACAUAUAUAGAGCUCAGCGGAAACAUAUAAAUUAUAGCAUCAGACCAAAUGAGAAUUUCGCGUCACGAUUUGAGACGCAGAUAUUCAAAUUCAUUAGUCAUCGAUGCAGACUCUCAAUUCAACUUGAGAGCCUGCUCGCAGGCUAUUAAGGAUAUGGUGAAAGCAACACAGCAGAAAAACGUCUGCGCAUGCGCGUGUACUAGAAAAAUUGGCGGGGAAUUUAAAUGUCAAAUUGUAAACAAAAACAUGAGUCAUGACUAUUUAAUUAUUUAAGAUAAGUGAAACAAACAAAAAAAUACACUAGACGGGUAGUUUAGACAUUAAUAAAAAGUUUUCUAACAUUUAAAAUCUAAAAAGAAACAGAAUUUCAACUAAACAUUAUCGUUUUAGACCGGGAGGCGUGUGAACAUUUCUUGAAAAAUUGUCGAAUACCGAACUUUAAGCCGGAGCAAACUAUUUUGAUAUAGAUAGAUAGAUAAACUUUAUUUAAAGAUGCUGACCCCGUCAACCGAAGCUGAUUUCCACGAGGGGCGUGCGAAAAGUAUACAGAAAAGAAUUUUAAAACUAUUUACAAAAUUAUAUAAGAUAUAUACGUGGUUGUGGUAAACAAAG